UGUAUUUUUUAUUAAUUUUUACUAUUUUUACCAACAUGCCUGACAUACGCUUUUACGAUAAUAUGUUAUUCAACUAUGAAACAACAAACAGGACAUAUUUUCAACCAGAAUUAAUAAAUUAUUAUCCCCCAACAUUGUACAUAGAGAAAGUAACGCGCCCAAGACCACCAUACAAACCGUUAAAUAAUAUCCAUACUCUUACAGAAUUCAAGAAACACGAUUUACCUUCGGAAUUAUUUGCAAACCAAAAUCAGAUUCUCCGUAAGAAUACUUACAAAGUCAACAGCGCUGUCAUUGAAAAUCCUGUGGAAAAGGGGUUAAGGCAGGCGACGCGGCCUCGUCCCGUAAUUCCACCUGCACUUAGUAUGGAUGAUAUCAAAGAUUCUAAAUGGCGUUUGCAAAACUUCAAGUGCCGGUAGUACCACCUGAAUGGCGAAUGGACUCAGUGAAGUGGGACAACAGACAAGUUCGAGGACACUGCAAUCCAGAUAAGUCAUUUUACUUAUCUCAGCCUUUGAGGUGCGAAGUCUGCAUCUCCACAUCUGAAAGAAAAGCUCAGAAGAAAACAAAAUAUUCAAACAACAAGCUUUAUUAGUAUAG